AGCACUGCUGCAGUAGCGCCGCCGCUGCCGCUGCUACCGAAGACGACUCCAUCCGGGUCCUGGAUGGUGCUGUAGAGACGGGAAUCGCAGGUUUGAAAGUGGAAUAGAAUGAGGAACGCUACAUAAUAGUUGUCUUGCAUCAAUAUUUGCACUUAAUUUCUUCAUCCAAAGAAGUUUCCCAGACUGAAUCAUUUGGAUAUUGAACUGGAAAGAAUAUCUUUGAAAUACUGUAGAUAAUUAAACAACCGGAGAGACGUUUGUUUAGCAUCCUUUUUAAAAAGACAUUGCCAUCUAUUAAAUGAAGAUACUGUUCUGUGGGAUGAGGUAGUAGGUUGUAUAGUUUUAGGGUCAUACCCACCACUGGGAGAUAACUAUACAGUCUACUGUCUUUCCUAAGGAAGCAGGUAAUCAUCAGCAACAUUAGUCUGAUUUUAUUCUGAAACUGCUUGCAGUGGCAGAUAUUGAACAUUAUUUCAAGGAAGCAAGAAAGUGAGCAACAGAAAACUUGCAUUAGGUGCUAUAUAAUACUUAAAGUUGGCCAUGGUAUGGGAGACUUGAGAGGGAAAUAACUUAGGGAAAGGUAAUUCAAAAAAGUAAAUAUUUUGUGUUCAAGUUACUUUUGACCAGUUUGGGAAGUAUUUUUCUAUGCCUAAUACCUGUUUUCCAUAAUUCAAAAGGCCUUCAAAGGGUGGGGGCAUUUGAACCCAAAAGUUUCCUGCUACAUUUUUAGAACCAAAUUCAAAGGAAUAUUAUCUGAACAAAUUUACUUUCUAAAUAUGUUUCUCUUAUCAGGUUGAGGUAGUAGAUUGUAUAGUUGUAGGGUAGUUAUUUUGCCCUCUUCAGGAGAUAACUAUACAAUCUAUUGCCUUCCCUGAGGAGUAAAAAUUCUACAGUAUUCUUGAUUUGCAGUUUGGUUUAAAAUAAAUUACAAGUGUCUUUGUUUUUACUGGCAAACUAUAAGAGGGUGUAAGAAUCAUUUUACUAUGUUUAUGCAUUAGUUCGUGGUCUUACUGAAUGUCUAUUUCAUAAAUACAUUCUAGUGAAGCUAAACUAUACUUGUAAGAAAGUAACCAUUGUUUUAUUUCAAAUGGACUGGGGCUAUACCUAUGAAUCAUUUGAUGGCAAAAUAUUUAACACUUAAGGAUGUUUCCUGUUUACCACUAAUGAACAAUGGUAAUGAAGCUGCAUGCAUGUUAUACUGCAUAAUCUUUAAAGAUGUGCACAACUUUUCACAAUGACUUUUUAAAGAAGAAUUACAGAAGAUAUGGUGGGGUUCCUAGGAAGAGGUAGUAGGUUGCAUAGUUUUAGGGCAGUGGUUUUGCCUAUACGGAGUUAACUAUACAACCUGCUGCCUUUCUUAGGGCUUUAAUAUCACAACAGGAUCAUGGUUGGUCGAAUUUCAUGUUCCUAAUCUAAGUUUGCAAGAUUUACCAUUACAUUUUUAUCCCUUGAAUCAAAUAAACCAAAUAAUGCAGAGGUUCCUUAAACUACCUUGAUGAAACAUUCUUUUCCCUUUGCUAGACUAUAGGAAACCGCCC